UCCAUGAUUCAGGGAAGCCAUGUUCAGGAGGGUGGGGGAGAGGAAGUGUCCUGGACUCCACAGAAGACUCUGACCUCAGCCCAGAGAAUGCUCCAGAGUGGAUCAAGACCUCAGACUGUAUGGGUCUAAUUCUCCACUCGCUGGCAUCAGGUAUUGCAAUUUCCAGAUGUGCAAAAGCCAGUUUCUAGAACAUCUUCAGAAAGUGGUUUUCUAAUAGUAAGGAAACCAUAACAGUGGACAGUACAAGCUGUGG